ensembl:lncRNA
GGGUAGGGCCCAUCCCUCGGUGUCCUUGGAGGUGGGGGUCUCUUGGUGCUGUGUUAGGGGUCCUGAGUUCAUGUUCGGGAGAAAUCAGCUGCUCCUCGAGGAGAUCCGUCUCCAUCGCUCGUCCGGCUGCAUCCCUUCAUAAAUCUUCCCCAAAAAAACAUCAGCACCUUCUCAGGCUGCCAUCUGUUUAUUUGGUUGGACUUGGAACUUGCUGAAAUGUCUUUCGAUGGAUGAAGCAACGGAGAGUAGAAGAACAGAGCCUGGCAGGCUGCUUGCUGUGCCAGGGAACCACCAAGCUUCCUGGUACCCCGUGUUGGCUGAGAGGCAAUGAGGUUAAGGAAAGCAUAACUUCCAUCAGGAAUUCUUGUAAAGGGCAAAACAAAACAGAUCAUUUCCUCGGUUUAAUGUGAGCCAAUUAUGGCUCAUGGGCUGUUAACUUCAUCACCGCUCCUUCCAAGAAAGACGUUGGGUAAAAUGAACCAGCGCGGCUCCGCGUGCGCCCAGCGCAGCCUCAGCCCCGGCCAUUUAUCCCCACGGAUGGAAAAAAGCUAAAGCCUACGUCGCACAAAUGCCCUCUAAAGUAUCCAACCACUUGUUGUACAUCUGCUGACGGAUACCAACUGGAAAGGAGAUUAGCGCUCAGACUCCCGCGCUGGGCUGUCUGCUCUUCCUAAUGAGGACCAGAUUGCAGCCUACGCCAGCGCUGCACCUCCAGCGGAUGGCGGGGUGGGGAGAAAAUCUCCUGGAUGGAAUCUGGAGAUCUGAAGACAUAUUUCUGCUCUCCUGGCCACCUAUGAACAGGAUGAUGGCGUUACAGCUGCCUGCGCAUCCUUGGGUGGAUCUUCAGUGUUCCUGAGCAGAUUUCACCUGUACUAUUGGUGGCUGCAGCUGAUGACAUGGUGCAGGAACACAGUGGCCUCAUCCCUGUCUCCUGGUGCUGGUCAAUCUCCCCCACCAACCCCAAAUCUCAGCCAGCUUUGAGCAGCGUUCACUCUCCUUCACCCUGCAGCGCCCACUGUGAAAUCAGCCCUGAGUGGGGUUUGCUGGCACUGUUAUCACCUCAGUGUCACCCACCAGGACAGCAGAUCCAAUGUGCUUGGGACACAGGACAGCCAUGCUGGACAGCAUGUUUUCCCAUGGGUGUUUCGCUGCGUUUCCCAAGCUGAGCUACCAUGUGUUUGGAAUUAGCGCCGCGGUUGCAGGG